AUUGUUUCUCGGCCUUUUGGCUAAGGUCAUGUGUAGUGUCUGUUCUUAUCAGUUUAUUAUCUCAUAUGUCCUCAAUGAGAGGACUUUAUAUUAAAUUAAUUUUGGGGCCCAGGAGUUUUUGGGGUGUUUUUAACUUUUAAUGGUUGGACUCGAUCAUCUCAAAGGUCUUUCCAACCCAAACAAU
rnacentral:snRNA from 1 species